GCCAGGCGUGGUGUAAUGGUUUGAGUGUUGGACUAUGACUCUGGAGAACAGGGUUCAUUUCCCUGCUUGGCC